rnacentral:rRNA from 1 species
AUACGGAGGGUGCGAGCGUUAAUCGGAAUUACUGGGCGUAAAGCGCGCGUAGGCGGCUUUGUAAGUCGGAUGUGAAAGCCAUGGGCUCAACCUGGGAAUUGCACUCGAUACUGCAGAGCUAGAGUAUGGUAGAGGGAAGGUGGAAUUCCAGGUGGAGCGGUGAAAUGCGUAGAUAUCUGGAGGAACACCAGAGGCGAAGGCGGCCUUCUGGACCAUUGCUGACGCUGAGGUGCGAAAGCUAGGGGAGCAAACAGGAUUAGAAACCCCGGUAGUCC